rnacentral:rRNA from 1 species
GAACGCUUUUUCUUUCACCGGAGCUUGCUCCACCGAAAGAAAAGGAGUGGCGAACGGGUGAGUAACACGUGGGUAACCUGCCCAUCAGAAGGGGAUAACACUUGGAAACAGGUGCUAAUACCGUAUAACAAUAGAAACCGCAUGGUUUCUAUUUGAAAGGCGCUUUUGCGUCACUGAUGGAUGGACCCGCGGUGCAUUAGCUAGUUGGUGAGGUAACGGCUCACCAAGGCAACGAUGCAUAGCCGACCUGAGAGGGUGAUCGGCCACAUUGGGACUGAGACACGGCCCAAACUCCUACGGGAGGCAGCAGUAGGGAAUCUUCGGCAAUGGACGAAAGUCUGACCGAGCAACGCCGCGUGAGUGAAGAAGGUUUUCGGAUCGUAAAACUCUGUUGUUAGAGAAGAACAAGGAUGAGAGUAGAAUGUUCAUCCCUUGACGGUAUCUAACCAGAAAGCCACGGCUAACUACGUGCCAGCAGCCGCGGUAAUACGUAGGUGGCAAGCGUUGUCCGGAUUUAUUGGGCGUAAAGCGAGCGCAGGCGGUUUCUUAAGUCUGAUGUGAAAGCCCCCGGCUCAACCGGGGAGGGUCAUUGGAAA